rnacentral:lncRNA from 13 species
UGGCACAAUUUUUUUCUUAUAAUUUAUGUUUUUGUAUUAAAGGAUAACCUCACAAAAUAAGUUUGUUAUAUUUUUUUAUAUUCUCUAGAUAUUUUCUGGUAGACUGAUAUAUUUCUCCAUAAAAACUUGGAAAAAUUUAGUUAUGAAGCUACCUGCCCCUGAAGAUACCUUUUCUGAUAUGAUGGUGGGAGCUCUGAGUCCUAUUUUGGAGUAUGAGAAUGAGAGCUACAUCUUGGGGUUACAGAGAAGUAAACUGCAAGGAGACCAAGACUCUGAGUACUUAAUGCUGCAAGACUGCCAUAGAAGAGAGAGACCUUAUUCUCAAUCAAAUCAUUGAACCUAACGAUGAGCAUUGAAGUUCCUGUUGACUUAAAGAGGAAUAUUCCUAAGGAUUAUGGGGUGAGUUGGUAAAAUGAGAAAAUGUUUUUCUAUAACACUAACUUCAUAUCAUGUGAUUACAGGCCCACUUGAAACUACCUAUGAGGCUGGGCACAGUGGCUAAUGCCUGUAAUUCCAAAAAUGUGGAAGGCCAAGGUGGGCGGAUCACCUGAGGUUGCGAGUUUGAGACCAGCCUAGCCAACAUGAAACCUCAUCUCUACUAAAAAAACAAAAAUUAGUUGUGCAUGGUGGCAGGUGCGUGUAGUCCCAGCUACCGGGGAGGCUGAGGCAGGAGAAUCACUUGAGCCCAGGAAGCAGAAGCUGCAGUGAACUGAGAUUGUGCCACUGCACUCUAGCCUAGGCCACAGAGUGAGACAACGUCUCAAAAAAAUAAAUAAAUAAAUAAAAAUUAAAAAGCA